UUCUCAUGCCUCACUAUCACACCUGGUUAUUAUUUUUUUAUUUAUAAAUUUAUUUCACUCACAGAUAUGGAUGCUGAAAGUUCCAAAGACAUGGCAGCAACUUUAAUGAGAGCUCCUAUCUGCUUGUCUGUAUAACCUCACAGUAGAUGACAUCACAAUGUCAAGAACAUAUGUGAAGGGCAGAUAUGAUGUCACCCUUCUAGAAGCCACAGAAAUGGUAAGGGGAUGGCAAUAACUUCUCACUGAACCCCACCAUUACUGAACACUUACUUUCAUAUCUUCAUGUUCCAUAGCAUUCUGCUAAUCAAAUCCAUUACUUUUUUCAAAAGGAAAAAUAAUUUAUUCAAAACUAGCUCUGAGGAGAUGGAAGGGCCCAUUGGUCUCAAGUCAUCACCUCUUCAGGUACAAAGAUGGAAGGAGUGGAGAUUUGAAGUUCUCCUAGGAGCACAAGAGAGCUCCCAGUAGAUAAAAGAAGCUAUUCUACUGGGCACUGUGAAUUUGGCCACCAAUCAAAAGUUCAGAUUGUCCCUAAGCAUUACAUACUUCUACAAUCAUAAAUAUCAAG
rnacentral:lncRNA from 1 species